GACGAACGCUGGCGGCGUGCUUAACACAUGCAAGUCGAACGGAAAGGCCCUGCUUUUGUGGGGUGCUCGAGUGGCGAACGGGUGAGUAACACGUGAGUAACCUGCCCUUGACUUUGGGAUAACUUCAGGAAACUGGGGCUAAUACCGGAUAGGAUCUCCUGCUGCAUGGUGGGGGUUGGAAAGUUUCGGCGGUUGGGGCUGGACUCGCGGCUUAUCCGCUUGUUGGUGGGGUAGUGGCUUACCAAGGCUUUGACGGGUAGCCGGCCUGAGAGGGGGACCGGCCACAUUGGGACUGAGAUACGGCCCAGACUCCUACGGGAGGCAGCAGUGGGGAAUAUUGCACAAUGGGCGGGAGCCUGAUGCAGCAACGCCGCGUGCGGGAUGACGGCCUUCGGGUUGUAAACCGCUUUCGCCUGUGACGAAGCGUGAGUGACGGUAAUGGGUAAAGAAGCACCGGCUAACUACGUG
rnacentral:rRNA from 1 species